rnacentral:rRNA from 1 species
GAGCUUUAAUUAAUUAAUUUAUAAGAAAUAAAUAUAACCAUCAAGGACCAACAAAAUUUCUUAUCUAAAUUAACAAUUUGGGUUGGGGUGACCUCGGAAUAUAAAACAACUUCCGAGUGAUUUUAAGCCUAGACCAACAAGUCAAAGCAAUAAAAAUCAUUUAUUGAUCCAAAAUUUUUUGAUCAACGGAACAAGUUACCCUAGGGAUAACAGCGCAAUCCUAUUUAAGAGUCCCUAUCGACAAUAGGGUUUAC